AUACCUUUCUCGGCCUUUUGGCUAAGAUCAAGUGUAGUAUCUGUUCUUAUCAGUUUAAUAUUUGAUAUGUGGGCCAUGUGCCCACAACGAUAUUAAAUUUAUUUUUUACGGGGGAGGGUCCACCACAGUGGCUUGCCAUUGGGGCCCUCAGGUGUUGCAACAGGCCAGGCAGGCGCACCCCAA
rnacentral:snRNA from 3 species